rnacentral:rRNA from 1 species
CCUACGGGUGGCAGCAGUGGGGAAUAUUGGACAAUGGGGGGAACCCUGAUCCAGCGACGCCGCGUGAGUGAAGAAGUAUUUCGGCAUGUAAAGCUCUAUCAGCAGGGAAGAAAGAAAUGACGGUACCUGACUAAGAAGCCCCGGCUAACUACGUGCCAGCAGCCGCGGUAAUACGUAGGGGGCAAGCGUUAUCCGGAUUUACUGGGUGUAAAGGGAGCGUAGACGGCGAUGCAAGUCUGAAGUGAAAGGCGGGGGCCCAACCCCCGGACUGCUUUGGAAACUGUAUGGCUGGAGUGCAGGAGAGGUAAGUGGAAUUCCUAGUGUAGCGGUGAAAUGCGUAGAUAUUAGGAGGAACACCAGUGGCGAAGGCGGCUUACUGGACUGUAACUGACGUUGAGGCUCGAAAGCGUGGGGAGCAAACAGGAUUAGAUACCCCUGUAGUC